UACGAAGGGGGCUAGCGUUGCUCGGAAUUACUGGGCGUAAAGGGCGCGUAGGCGGAUAGUUUAGUCAGAGGUGAAAGCCCAGGGCUCAACCUUGGAACUGCCUUUGAUACUGGCUAUCUUGGGUUCGGGAGAGGUGAGUGGAAUGCCGAGUGUAGAGGUGAAAUUCGUAGAUAUUCGGCGGAACACCGGUGGCGAAGGCGACUCACUGGCCCGAUACUGACGCUGAGGCGCGAAAGCGUGGGGAGCAAACAGG
rnacentral:rRNA from 1 species